rnacentral:rRNA from 1 species
AGAACGAACGCUGGCGGCACGCCUAACACAUGCAAGUCGAGCGCCCAGCAAUGGGAGCGGCGGACGGGUGAGGAACACGUGGGAACAUGCCUUUCGGUUCGGCACAACUGCGGGAAACUGCAGCUAAUUCCGGAUACGCCCUUACGGGGAAAGAUUUAUCGCCGAAAGAUUGGCCCGCGUCUGAUUAGCUAGUUGGUGAGGUAAUGGCUCACCAAGGCUUCGAUCAGUAGCUGGUUUGAGAGAACGACCAGCCACACUGGGACUGAGACACGGCCCAGACUCCUACGGGAGGCAGCAGUGGGAAUCUUGGACAAUGGAGGAAACUCUGAUCCAGCGAUGCCGCGUGAGUGAUGAAGGCCUUCGGGUUGUAAAACUCUUUUACCAGGGAAGAUAAUGACUGUACCUGGAGAAUAAGCCCGGCUAACUUCGCGCCAGCAGCCGC